rnacentral:rRNA from 1 species
AACGAACGCUGGCGGCAGGCCUAACACAUGCAAGUCGAAGGAGAAGCCAUCUUCGGAUGGUGGAAACUGGCGCACGGGUGAGUAACGCGUGGGUAUCUACCUCGGGGUGGGGAAUAACCGCUGGAAACGGCGGCUAAUACCGCAUACGCCUUAAGAGGGAAAGCUCCGGCGCCCUGAGAGGAGCCCGCGUUGGAUUAGCUUGUUGGUGGGGUAACGGCCUACCAAGGCUACGAUCUAUAGCUGGUCUGAGAGGAUGAUCAGCCACACUGGGACUGAGACACGGCCCAGACUCCUACGGGAGGCAGCAGUGGGGAAUAUUGGACAAUGGGCGCAAGCCUGAUCCAGCCAUGCCGCGUGAGUGAAGAAGGCCUUAGGGUUGUAAAGCUCUUUCACCUGCGAAGAUGAUGACGGUAGCAGGAGAAGAAGCCCCGGCUAACUCCGUG